rnacentral:rRNA from 1 species
GGGUUGUGAGGUUAAGCGACUAAGCGUACACGGUGGAUGCCCUGGCAGUCAGAGGCGAUGAAGGACGUGCUAAUCUGCGAUAAGCGUCGGUAAGGUGAUAUGAACCGUUAUAACCGGCGAUUUCCGAAUGGGGAAACCCAGUGUGUUUCGACACACUAUCAUUACGUGAAUACAUAGCGUAAUGAAGCGAACCGGGGGAACUGAAACAUCUAAGUACCCCGAGGAAAAGAAAUCAACCGAGAUUCCCCCAGUAGCGGCGAGCGAACGGGGAGCAGCCCAGAGUCUGAAUCAGCUUGUGUGUUAGUGGAACGGUCUGGAAAGUCCGACGGUACAGGGUGAUAGUCCCGUACACCAAAAUGCACAGGUUGUGAACUCGAAGAGUAGGGCGGGACACGUGGUAUCCUGUCUGAAUAUGGGGGGACCAUCCUCCAAGGCUAAAUACUCCUGACUGACCGAUAGUGAACCAGUACCGUGAGGGAAAGGCGAAAAGAACCCCGGCGAGGGGAGUGAAAAAGAACCUGAAACCGUGUACGUACAAGCAGUGGGAGCCU